rnacentral:lncRNA from 1 species
AGACAGGGUCUCUGUCGCCCACACUGGAGUGCAGUGGUGUCAUUUCUGUUCACUGCAACUUCUGCCUCCCAGGUUCAAGCAGUUCUCCUGUCUCAGCCUCCUGAGUAGCUGGGAUUACAGGUGUGAGCCACCACACCUAGCCUGUAGUUACUUUUUUGAGUAACUAUUUAAGAAUGUAUUGUUUAAUUUCCACAUAUUUGCAAAUUUUUCAGUUUUCCUGUUAGUGAUUUCUAACUUCAUUGCAUUGUGGUUGGAAAAGAUACUUUGUGUGAUUUCAGUCUUUUGAAAUUUACGGCAAGUUUUUUUGUGGUCUAACGUGUUGCCCUAGAGGAUGUUCCAGUGCACUUGAAAAGAAUGUGUAUUCUGCUCGUGUUGGUUGGAGUGUUCUGCAUAUGUCUUUUAGGUCUAGUUGCCUAACGGUGUUGUUUAAGUCUUCUUUUUCCUUAUGUAUCUUUUGCUUAGUUGUACCACCCAUUAUUGAAAGUAGGGUGUUGAAGUCUCUAGCUAUUAUUGUUGAGCCAUUUCUUCCUUCAAGUCUGUCAAUUUUUGCUUCAUAGAAUUUGGGGCUGUGUUGUUAGGGGCAUAUAUGUUUUUAAUUCUUAAAUGUUCUUGAUUGACUCUUAUCAUUAUAUAAUGUCCUUUGUCUUUUUAAGUAGUUUUGUCUUAAUGCCUUUCUUAGUCCACUUGGGCUGCCUAAGUGGCUUAUAAAAAAAAUUAUUUCUCACAGUUCUGGAGGCUGGGAAGUUCAAGAUCAAGACACAGACAGAUUUGGUAUGGUGAGGUGCCGCUUUCUGGUUCAUGGAUGACUGUCUUUUUGCUAUGUUCUCACAUGACAAAAGGAUGAGGGAUCUCUCUUGGUGCCUCUUUUAUAAGGGCACUAAUCCCAUUUAUGAGGACACUGCCCUUAUUUUCUUAAUCACCUUCCAAAGGCCCCACUUCUUAAUCCUAUCACCUUGGAGGUGAUAGGAUUUCAACAUAUGAAUUUUUGGGGGGACUCCAACAGUUAGACCAUCGCAGUGCCUAUUUUGUCUGAUACUAGUAUAGCCACUCCAUUUCUUUUUUGGUUGCUGUUCGCAUGGGCUUUUUCUUUUCUUUCACCUUCAACCUCUUUGUGUCUUUGGAUCUAAAGCAAAUGUCUUGUGUACAGAAUAUUGUUGGAUAAUGCUUUUUAAAUUAAUUCUGCCCAUCUCUGCCUAUUAAUUGGAGGCUUUACUCCAUUUACAUGUAAUAUAAUUGCUGAUAAGGAGGAACAUUUCCCAUUUUAUAUUUCUUUCUGUCUGUCUUAUAUCAGUUUUGUUCAAGCCCUCCAUGACUGAUUUUUGUGUUACAUAUUUUCUAGUGUACCAUUUUGAUUCCCUUCUCAUUUAUUUUACUACAUAAUAGUUAUUUUCUUGGUGUUUGUCCUGGGGAUUAUAAUUAACACCUUCAUUUGUAGCAGUCUAUUUUGAAUUAAUAACAACUUGGUUUCAAUAGUAUAUAAAAUACUUUGCUGCUACAUAGCUCUCCCCCCUCCAAUAAAUCUUUAUGCAUUGUUUGUCCAUCAACACAGAGUUAUAAUUAUUGUUGUAUGUAGUCUUUUAAGUCAUAUAGGGAACAAAAGAGGCAUUAACAAACUGAAAACAUAACCUCUCUGCCUUCUUUGCUUCCUAACACUUUAUAAUAUAAUAUCUCUAAUAUGCUUUCAGAUACUAUUCUAAAUAAUUUACAAAUACUUGUCUAAUCACGUUAUAAAUUUAUAGCCAAGGAAAGUGAGGUGUGAAGAAGACAAAUUGUCCAAGGUAUGGCCAGGCACAGUGGCUCACACCUGUAAUCCCAGCACUUUGGGAGGCCGAUGCAGGCAGAUCACAAGGUCAGGAGUUCUAGACCAGCCUGGCCAAUAUGGCGAAACCCGGUCUCUACUAAAAAUACAAAAACUAACUGGGCAUGGUGGUGGGCAUCUGUAGUCCCAGCUACUCGGGAGGCUGAGGCAGGAGAAUUGCUUGAACCCUGGAGGUGGAGGUUGCAGUAAGCCAAGAUCGCGCCACUACACUCCAGCCUGGGUGACAGAGCAAGACUCUGUUUCAAAAAAAAAAAAAAAAGAAAUUGUCCAAGGUUAUAGAGCUUUUAAAAGAGAAUCAGAUAUUUGAACCCAGGUGACCUGGCUUCGUAAUUCAUAUUCUUAACCACUACAUCUCUUACUUCCUAGAGUUGUAGUACUCCUUCUAUUACACUACAACAGUGAAUGUAAAAUUCAGUUGGAUACAUAAAAUGUGCAUUCAUGUUGAAAAUGAAGGAAAAAUAAAGUGAAAGAUACUGGGAAUCAUUUGGGAGGAAAGAUAACAGCUGGAAGGGACUUUUGAACUAUGGCCUUGAAGACCACGUAGGAUCAAGACUAUUGAUAUUUGAGAGAAUUUUAUUUAUUUAUUUUUUGUAAUGGAGUCUCGCUCUGUCACCCAGGCUGGAGUGCGGUGGCAUGAUCUCAGCUCACUGCAACCUCCGCCUCCUGGGUCCACACCAUUCUCCUGUGUCAGCCUCCCGAGCAGCUGGGACUACAGGCACAUGCCACCACGCCCAGCUAAAAUUUGCAUUUUUAGUAGAGGUGGGAUUUCACCAUGUCUCAAUUUCUUGACCACGUGAUCCGACCACCUUGGCCUCCCAAAGUGCUGGGAUUAUAGGCAUGAGCCACCGCAUCCGGCCUGAGAGUACAUUUUAGAAGGAGCAAGGUGAAGAGAGGGAUCAAGACAAAGAAAAUCAAGGCCUACUUGAGAAGCAGAUUGUUAUUGAAAGGCAUUGAAAAGGAGUGUUGAAAAGGUUCACUUUUGGAAGAAUUUGAAAGCCAGACUAAGCAGUUUGAAUUUUAUUAUGCAGGCAGUAGCUAAUCAUUGAACCUUUUUGAGCAGGGGAGAACUAUUAAGAAUUUUGUAUAUAAAUCUGAAAGC